rnacentral:rRNA from 1 species
GACGAACGCUGGCGGCGUGCUUAACACAUGCAAGUCGAACGGAGAAGCGCCGUCCUUUUUGGUUGGUGUGGAGGAGCGGCGGAGGGGUGAGCAAGAGGAUAGUAACCUUCCCCCUUCUUCUGGAUAACGGCACGAAAGCGUGGCUAAUACGGGAUAUUCUGAGUCUGUCGCAUGAUUGGUCAGGGACAGAUAUUGUGUCGGUGGGGGAUGGGUCCGCGCCGUAUUAGCUUGUUGGUGGGGUGAUGGCCUACCAAGGCGGCGAUGGGUAGCCGACGUGAGAGGCGGGUAGCCGGCCCCACAGGGGCUGAGGCGCCACGCAGACUCCGACAGGAGGCAGCAGUGGAGAGUAUGGAACAGUGGGCAGAAGGCUGAAGCAGCGCCGCGGCGGGGGGGAUGGAGGCCUGCGCGUUGUGAACCUCUUUCGGUAGUGAAGCAGGCUUGCCUCGUUUGUGGGUGGGUUGACGGUAGCUGGUUAAGAAGCGCCGGCUAACUACGUG